rnacentral:rRNA from 1 species
GANUGGGAAUGGGCGAAGCCUGACCCAGCGACGCCGCGUGAGGGAUGAAGGCCUUCGGGUUGUAAACCUCUUUUCUCAGGGAAGAAUAAUGACGGUACCUGAGGAAUAAGUCUCGGCUAACUACGUGCCAGCAGCCGCGGUAAUACGUAGGAGGCGAGCGUUAUCCGGAUUUAUUGGGCGUAAAGUGGGCGUAGGUGGUCUUUCAAGUCAGAUGUGAAAUCUCCCGGCUCAACUGGGAGGGGUCAUCUGAUACUGUUGGACUUGAGUACAGCAGGGGAAAAUGGAAUUCCCGGUGUAGAGGUGAAAUUCGUAGAUAUUCGGAGGAACACCGGUGGCGAAGGCGGCUUCCUGGCAUGUAACUGACGCUCAUGUUCGAAAGCGUGGGGAGCAAACAGGAUUAGAUACCCUGGUAGUCCACGCCCUAAACGAUGGGCACUAGGUGUGGGAGGUAUCGACCCCUUCCGUGCCGCAGCUAACGCAUUAAGUGCCCCGCCUGGGGAGUACGGCCGCAAGGUUGAAACUCAAAAAAAUUGACGGA